GAUGAACGCUGGCGGCGUGCCUAAUACAUGCAAGUCGAGCGAACAGAUGAGGAGCUUGCUCCUCUGACGUUAGCGGCGGACGGGUGAGUAACACGUGGAUAACCUACCUAUAAGACUGGGAUAACUUCGGGAAACCGGAGCUAAUACCGGAUAAUAUAUUGAACCGCAUGGUUCAAUAGUGAAAGACGGUUUUGCUGUCACUUAUCGUGGGACCCGGGCCGCAUUAGCUAGUUGGUAAGGUAACGGCUUACCAAGGAAACGAUGCGUAGCCGACCGCAGAGGGUGAUCGGCCCCACUGGAACGGAGACCCGCUCCAGACUCCUACGGGAGGCAGCAGUAGGGAAUCUUCCGCAAAGGGCGAAAGCCUGACGGAGCAACGCCGCUGGAGUGAUGAAGGUCUUCGGAUCGUAAAACUCUGUUAUUAGGGAAGAACAAAUGUGUAAGUAACUAUUCACGUCUUGACGGUACCUAAUCAGAAAGCCACGGCUAACUACGUG
rnacentral:rRNA from 1 species